rnacentral:vault_RNA from 1 species
GCACUGGUUUAGCUCAGUGGUUACUUCGAACACAUUUUCUCCUGUAGAAAAACUGCUCUCCAUCCCUCCUUGGGAUCAAACCAUGGGCGCUGUCCAGUGUUUUU